AUUGAACGCUGGCGGCAUGCCUUACACAUGCAAGUCGAACGGCAGCACGGGGGCAACCCUGGUGGCGAGUGGCGAACGGGUGAGUAAUACAUCGGAACGUGCCCAGUCGUGGGGGAUAACGUAGCGAAAGUUACGCUAAUACCGCAUACGAUCUAUGGAUGAAAGCGGGGGACCGUAAGGCCUCGCGCGAUUGGAGCGGCCGAUGUCAGAUUAGGUAGUUGGUGGGGUAAAGGCCCACCAAGCCGACGAUCUGUAGCUGGUCUGAGAGGACGACCAGCCACACUGGGACUGAGACACGGCCCAGACUCCUACGGGAGGCAGCAGUGGGGAAUUUUGGACAAUGGGCGCAAGCCUGAUCCAGCCAUUCCGCGUGCAGGACGAAGGCCUUCGGGUUGUAAACUGCUUUUGUACGGAACGAAAAGGUCCUGGUUAAUACCCGGGGCUCAUGACGGUACCGUAAGAAUAAGCACCGGCUAACUACGUGCCAGCAGCCGCGGUAA
rnacentral:rRNA from 1 species